rnacentral:sRNA from 1 species
UAUACUCUUAUUGUUCCAAUGGUUAGUGAUCAUACAAGAUUCGUGAUUGUAAAACGUAUCCGCCAUCUCUUGGAUUA